AAGUCGUAACAAGGUUUCCGUAGGUGAACCUGCGGAAGGAUCAUUAUUGAAAUUAAAUUCGAGGGUGCGUGUGAUUGGAUGGAUUCUUUUUUGAAUUCAUUCAGUUGCGCGCGCUUUUCUUAUUCACCCCUUUGUGAACCUUCAUUGCAAGAAGGCAGUCGUGAGUGUGAUCACGUGACAAUCAUCCGAUCGAUCUUUGUCAUUGGUCAUUCACUCCGCACUUGCCAUCUUGCAAUUACCAACACCAUCAAAACAAUUGUCUUAAUCUAAUUAUUAAAAAAUAAACAACUUUUAACAACGGAUCUCUAGGCUCUC
rnacentral:misc_RNA from 1 species